UAUUCACAACUUUUUCAACUUAUAAAACCCCUCACUGGGAUGUUCUUAUUACUGAAUGAUUGAAGGCCUUCCUUGAAAAACAGAGAUGUCCAAGUGGAGUGGAAUGUACCAUUGACCUGCACGUGGUGCAACCAUCACCAUUCACCCUAUAAAGUAUGCAUGUCAUAAAUAUAAAUUAGUCAAUUCCUUCUUUCAUUUUCCAAAUAAAUAACUCAAUUUCUUGCUGACUAUUACAAAGGCAAAUAAUAGAGCCACUUGCCUAAGCGCAUACGGCAAAGUCAGCUUUUCAUUGAUUGAGUUCCAUAUUGGACCCACGAGCAAGGAAGAUGAUAGUAAUGAUCUAUGCAUUCUUCAGGAUCGUCUUCCAUGGAAUCCUGUUUGGCGUCUAGAGGAUGAAGAUUGUGAUAGUUGAACUAACCAAAUCUCAAUAAUUUUGGUAAAAUCAACUAACUAUUUAAAAGAGUAUGUUGAUUAACGUGUCGCUUUAAUUCCAAGAACGACAUUGAAACACGAGUUAAUGGUUCACAACUCACAAGUGUAAAAGUUACUAAUUAAAUCUCAAAUUUUGGAAAAAUCAAAUAACUAUUUAAGAGUAGGUUAACUGAUGUGUCACGUUAAUCGGAAGAAUAACGUUGAAAUCAUGGAGUCAAACAUUCAUUAAAAAGCCAAAAAAUAUGAAAUGGUUUAGAAGAAGCAAGAAUUCUCAUUUUCUAAAUGGUAGGGUACUGAUCAAGGUUUUAAAUAUCGAUAUUAUCGGCGAUAAUAUCGUUUUUUUGAGAGGGGAUAUUUUCACACGUAUCCACCUUAUUUUCGUCAAUAUAUCGGUAAUAUCGGGAUCAUAUCGAUAAUAUCGGGAAUAUCAGAAUAAUAUUGGUAAAAUAAACAUAAUAAUUCGGUGUGUGUCAGUGUGUGUGUCGGUGUGUGUACAUUUAUAUUAUAUGCUUUAGGUGCAUGGUGUGUCAGUGUGUGUGUGGUGGUGUGUGUGUGUGUCGGUGUGUGUGUGGUGGGUUUUAGAGCUUGCAAAGCUUACAUAA
rnacentral:lncRNA from 1 species